UUGAACGCUGGCGGCAGGCCUAACACAUGCAAGUCGCACGGUAACAGAAAGCAGCUUGCUGCUUUGCUGACGAGUGGCGGACGGGUGAGUAAUGUCUGGGAAACUGCCUGAUGGAGGGGGAUAACUACUGGAAACGGUAGCUAAUACCGCAUAACGUCGCAAGACCAAAGAGGGGGACCUUCGGGCCUCUUGCCAUCGGAUGUGCCCAGAUGGGAUUAGCUGGUAGGUGGGGUAAAGGCUCACCUAGGCGACGAUCCCUAGCUGGUCUGAGAGGAUGACCAGCCACACUGGAACUGAGACACGGUCCAGACUCCUACGGGAGGCAGCAGUGGGGAAUAUUGCACAAUGGGCGCAAGCCUGAUGCAGCCAUGCCGCGUGUAUGAAGAAGGCCUUCGGGUUGUAAAGUACUUUCAGCGGGGAGGAAGGGAGUAAAGUUAAUACCUUUGCUCAUUGACGUUACCCGCAGAAGAAGCACCGGCUAACUCCGUG
rnacentral:rRNA from 1 species